GAUGAUCUCCUAAAAGAUAAAGAGACUCCUAACAAAAAAUGAUUUGUCAAUCCUAGUUGACUCUUAAUGCAUAAAUCAACAGUUUAAGAUGUUAUGUAGGCUUAUUCUAUUAAUACACAGAGAAAAUAUUAACAGAGGAACUAAUCAGCCUCACAAAAAUAAAGUUCAAAGACCGAAAAAGGAUUUAUUUUGUUGACAAUCUUGUUGUCUUUUAAAGUAAUUGUCAGGAUUGUUUAGAAUUGUUUCUCUUUAAUUUUUUUAUAUAAAUUUAACCAGUGGGGUGUGAUGGAAGGCACUAAUCGGUCUGAUGGGACAACACUGCGUGCAAGGGGUUCAGGUUCUGGAAAAGACACGUAUUGCGGCAAAAGGUCAGAUGAAAAAAGAGGAGGCUCUUGCUGGAGGGCAUGUGAUGAAUGUCACACGUCGCAACUCGAAGCAAGGACCUGAGUUUGUUAACGCCAAUGACAUUAUAGCACGCCCUUUGUACUGUAAGAAAACGGAGAUUCAAACGACGACAAUCAUAAAAAUGAUUAAAAGCAAUUCACCCUAAGUUUGGAGACAUGUACUGAUUGCAAAGAAGUCACUCCCUAAGAAAAGUUGCACAUCCGAAAAAGUCAAAACUUUGAAGGUCAGUUUGUUGUCACGCAUUUUUUUUGUAGACCUAUGCAUUUAUUCUUUCAUAAGAGGUGUACACGAUCAUUUUUUCGUUGAACAUGGAUUAGAGGAAGCUGGACUUCAAAGAGAAUGCUGAAGCUGACCUUGAUAUCCUGUAUGAUUUCAAGUAGCGUAAACAUGUAUCUCCCUUUCUAUACUACUCGCACAAGUCCUCCGAGAUGACUGCUGAGGAGACUCCCAAGAUAAAGUUAUUUUUUAAUAAGUUUAUAUUUAUUAUUUACUAGAAAUUUAUUUUUGAAUUUAUAUUAUUUUUAUUGUUAGAAUUUUGAUUCUUAUAAGAAAUCUUCUAUGCAUGACAUUAUGCAUGUCAUGUGUAAAUUUAUUAGAAAUGUGAGUUUUUUUUUUUUUUAUUGUGCACAUGAUGUAUAUAUCAUAGUGUCUGGACCUUGCUUUUUGGACGCCAGCAAGAAUGUAAUUUGUCAGGGGAGAACUGGUUGUCGCAGCAGAUAUAUUUGGGAUGGAGUUGGACAUGAGGUAAGCAUGUUGUGACCCGGGAAUUUUCGAUGGGUUGAUUAAUCAUGCUUAAACUUAUUAAUAUAGUUAUCAUCAGUAUCAUCAAUGUGAUUAUAUUAGUUAUUAUUCUUACUCUUGCUUUAUUAUAACCUUCAUCAUUCUUAUCAUUUCAUUUAUCUUCUUUGCUAGUGUUAUAAAUAUAAAGGUUUUACUUAUUAAUUAUGAGUGUGGAUAUUGUUAUCAUUAUAGAUUUGAUGACUUCUUCAUGGCUGAUUAAUGAUGCGUACAACCUUUUACCUAAAAAUGUUGUUUACUAUUGAAUAAUUGACAUGUGCUAGUAAGGUUUUGGUUCCUAAUGAGCAUUGUUGUGGUACGAGGGAGGCACUUUGGACGCUCCGCCUUGAAAAAGAACUUGUCAACGAUGUAUUGAACGUGGUAGCUGGGAUGUUGACUGAUCAACGACCUGACCACAGGAGGUGGUGACUCCCAACUACGUUCAGCGCGAGUUUGUUUUUCACUUAAUUGAGGGUGUGUUUAGGAAUUUGUUGGAAGGGAAGAAGCACGUUUAGAUUUAUUGAAAGUUUCAAUUUUUGGUUUGGCAAAUUUUUUUUAUGAAUGCAGAAGUGAUUUUGCUUUUAAGACCACGUUUACAAGAAGCAACUAUUUUUAACUUCUGCGUUUUCUUAAC